rnacentral:miRNA from 1 species
AGUAGAGGCGGGGUUUCACCAUGUUGGUCAGGCUGGUCUCAAACUCCUGACCUCAGGUGAUCCACCCA